AUCAUAAACAGGCCGAAGCUUCCACAAGAGGCAUGGGGGACCCAAUCUUUGGGGUGAAGCCUAUUCAUGGCCGGGCGCUUGCUCUUUGACCCGAACCCGUCAGCUAACCUCGUAGGCCUUAAAAAAGAGAGGA
rnacentral:sRNA from 2 species